CCAAGUACGUGGCAGCGGCGGCGGGAAUACGUGGGGGCCAAGCGUUGUCCGGAUAUAUGUGGCGUAAAGAGCUCGUAGGCGGGUCGGCAAGUCGAAUGUGAAAUCUCCACGCUCAACGUGGAGGGGUCAUUCGAUACUGCCGUGACUUGAGUACGGUAGGGGAGUGUGGAAUUCCCGGUGUAGCGGUGAAAUGCGCAGAGAUCGGGAGGAACACCCGUAGCGAAGGCGGCACUCUGGGCCGAUACUGACGCUGAGGAGCGAAAGCGUGGGGAGCGAACAGGAUUAGAUACCCGUGUAGUC
rnacentral:rRNA from 1 species